AUGUCCCUCUGGCGAUCCGCUGCCCAGGACGCGGCAGCGGUACUCUCCAAGCGCCCAGAUAGGGAAGAUGUUCCGAUACUGGGAGUAGGUGAUGGCGCAGUUCCUGGCAAAGAUGCCGAUGAUCUCCUGUGGCACAAAAUUCCAACAGCGAUGAACAAACAAACGCAGACAGAACAGCAACUGAAUGCAGGAUUGCCGGUUAAUCAGUGUCUGGAAUCUAAGCAGCAGGCGGUUUUGACAGUGAUUUUCAUGAGAGUGCCCUUACAAGAAAAGAAAGUGCCACUGCUCGGUUCGUGGAAUACUUACUUGCUGAGGGAACUCUCCAUCCUCUAG
rnacentral:rRNA from 1 species